AACAAUUAAUGAAUGGCAGACCAACGUUUCUUUCUACAUUCUCUCUACCUGCAAGUCAAAACAUAUGUCCAAAAACCCUAACUUUCCUUUCAAAUUUCAAAUGCCCUUUUUUUCAUUUUCGUUCUCUCUCUCCCUCAAAUCCAGAUCCAAAUGAAAUUUUCGUUCUCUCUCUCCAGGCGAUUUUGUAGAUUGUAGAUCUAGGGUUUCUGGCAUCUUCAAGGUGGGUUUAUGGCAUUUUCAGAUCUCACAAAACUUCAUCAUCAAGAAUAUCAUUCAAGAUCUCUCACCAGAUGCCGUUUCAUGACCAGAUCUGUGAGGAUUUCACCAGAUCGAUGAAGGUCUGCAACCCUUGGGGGACGGGAGAGAGUGACGGUGGUGAUGAUCCGGUUACAGGCUUCUAUACGGUGUGACAGUGGUGGUCCUUAACAGCCACCAUACAUUGUUGACGGUUCCAUGGUUAAAAUGAGGAGAAAGACAAUGCCAGAAAACCGUAGCCGCCGCUUCCCGCGGUGGUAGCUAGGGUUCCGGCGAAGUCUCCAACGAAGCUCCGAGUUGAUACUUUCAAGAUUGAUCAUCUUCAUACGAGGCUGCUGCUGACUGCAAAAGGUCCUAAACGGUUAAUGAAAAAGGGUGAAACAAGAGAAAAAGGGUUUGCUCACCCUCUGCAGACGGCAGGCUAUUCUCUUUCUAAAAUAAUUCGAUGGUUCUGCCCUUCUAAAAUGAAUUUGCAUUAUAUUUACUCACUUGUGCAGGAGUGUCUAAAUCUCUCAUGGUGGGUUGAAAUUUGAAUGUUUGGUGUUUGAUUUAGGAGGUGGUAUGUUUGGUGUUUGAAAGGCACCCAUUUUCAAUGACGUAUGCCCCGGAUGAUGAUUACCUGAGUGUACAUAUCCGGACUCUUGGUGAUUGGACUAUACAACUAGGAACCGUCUUUUCUAAGGUAUGUCAGCCUCGACAUAGUGGAAAAAGUGGGCUUCUUAGAGCUGAUUGCCAAGGAGAAAAUCCAAAGGAAGUGUUUUUGAACCAUUUAUUCAAACAUUCAUAAUUCAAUAAAACAUUUGUAGAAACAUAUUUAAGUCUUUUAGGACAUAAAUCUAUUAAUUAAAAUUAAAUUUUUCUACCCGCGAAGCUCGCGGGCUCUAA